rnacentral:rRNA from 1 species
GACGAAGGUGGCGAGCGUUACUCGGAUUUACUAGGCGUAAAGCGUGGGCAGGCGGUUCAGUAAGUCUGUUGUGAAAGCUCCUGGCUUAACCGGGAGAUGCCAAUGGAAACUACUGGACUUGAAUUUGGGAGGGGUCACUGGAAUUCCUGGUGUAGCGGUGAAAUGCGUAGAUAUCAGGAGGAACACCCAUGGCGAAAGCAGGUGACUGGACCAAUAUUGACGCUCAUCCACGAAAGCUGGGGGAUCAAACAGG